CAGUCGCCGCGGUAAAACGGAGGGUGCAAGCGUUAAUCGGAAUUACUGGGCGUAAAGCGCACGCAGGCGGUCUGUCAAGUCGGAUGUGAAAUCCCCGGGCUCAACCUGGGAACUGCAUUCGAAACUGGCAGGCUAGAGUCUUGUAGAGGGGGGUAGAAUUCCAGGUGUAGCGGUGAAAUGCGUAGAGAUCUGGAGGAAUACCGGUGGCGAAGGCGGCCCCCUGGACAAAGACUGACGCUCAGGUGCGAAAGCGUGGGGAGCAAACAGGAUUAGAUACCCGGGUAGUCCCUGUCUCUUAUAU
rnacentral:rRNA from 1 species